rnacentral:rRNA from 1 species
AUUGAACGCUGGCGGCAGGCCUAACACAUGCAAGUCGAGCGCGAAAGUUCUUCGGAAUGAGUAAAGCGGCGAACGGGUGAGUAAUACAUGGGAAUCUGCCUGGUAGUGGGGGACAACGUCUCGAAAGGGACGCUAAUACCGCAUACGCCCUACGGGGGAAAGGGGGGGAUCUUCGGACCUCUCGCUAUCAGAUGAGCCCAUGUCAGAUUAGCUAGUUGGUAGGGUAAAGGCCUACCAAGGCGACGAUCUGUAACUGGUCUGAGAGGAUGAUCAGUCACACUGGGACCGAGACACGGUCCAGACUCCUACGGGAGGCAGCAGUGGGGAAUAUUGGACAAUGGGCGCAAGCCUGAUCCAGCCAUGCCGCGUGUGUGAAGAAGGCCCUAGGGUUGUAAAGCACUUUCAGUGGGGAGAAAGGUUAUUCACCUAAUACGUGAGUAAAUUGAUGCUACCCACAGAAGAAGCACCGGCUAACUCCGUGCCAGCCGCCGCAGUAAGAC